UUCCCUCCAUGGAAAAAUGUGGAUGACCUGAUCGAGUUUCCUGCAUUUGAGCUGCCAAUUGAUGGGGUCUCUGUCAAGAUUUGUGAAUGGGUAGGAAUGCUAGAUGAAUUUGGAGUGUUAACUGAAGCUUGGGUUCGGAUUGAAGGGAUUCCUCCUAAAUGGUGUGCUUGGAAGGCUUUUGCCCAGAUUACUGCAUGUUUUGGGAUCCUGGUUGAUGUAGACUAGAAUGGCAUUUUUAAGAGCUUCUAUGAGACCAUCAGAGUGAAAGUUUCUUGUAGAGACCCAAGGAAAAUACCAUUUGAGAGGUUAGUGGAGAUGAAAAGGAAGUUGUACAUAUUGUUCUUCAUUGUGGAAGGUUUUGAGCAAAUGGGAGAAGACUCUGAUGGUGAUGAUCUUGAUCUAGAUUUGGAUAACUUGGAAAAGGAAAAUGAAGAUAACAAUGGGGAUGUGUCUAGUAAAGAUAAAUUUGAGGGGGUGAUAUGGAGGAACCUAUUGAUGAGCUGUACAAGGCAAACUUCCCUUCCAAAUUUACCUUUACUGCAAGUUCAAGUCAGUCACUGCCACAGAAAGUUGCUUCUACAGUUGAGUUUCACCCCACUAAUAUGUUGGAUACCGUUCAUGAGGACUUUGUGGAAGAGGUUAGGAACAAAACCCCUGAGAAAAUGGUUACCAAGGAUGCAGAGAAGGAAGAUAUCACCUCUACAAGGCCCUCUCUUUCUGCAAGAUCUGAUCCCUUGUCAGUGCACCUAG
rnacentral:rRNA from 1 species